rnacentral:rRNA from 1 species
AUACGGAGGGUGCAAGCGUUAAUCGGAAUUACUGGGCGUAAAGCGUACGUAGGCGGUGAGUUAAGUUAGAUGUGAAAGCCCCGGGCUCAACCUGGGAACUGCAUUUAAAACUGGCUCACUAGAGUUGAGUAGAGGGGAGUGGAAUUUCAGGUGUAGCGGUGAAAUGCGUAGAGAUCUGAAGGAACACCAGUGGCGAAGGCGACUCCCUGGACUCGAACUGACGCUGAGGUACGAAAGCGUGGGUAGCAAACGGGAUUAGAAACCCGUGUAGUCC